CAACCUUUUGAGCUUGGUGUGUCAAACUUCGCCAAAAAACUGAGCAUAACUCAGGCACUACUUCAGCUUCUCUGAAGACUAACUUUCUGGGAUCCUUCUUUGUCUUUUAGCAAGAUCUCCUCAAGGAAGUCAGUAGCCCAGGUUUGGUCAACAUAUGCCUGUCAAUGACAAAAGUAAACAUAAAAGAAGCAAUAAUCAAUCCACUAUAAUUGCAGCAUUGUUUUGCCAUCACUGAUGAUUGUUUCUCUUCUAGAAAAGACUGCUAGCAGGAAUUCACUUCAGAAUUUAAUAAAGCCUGAUAUCAGCAAAGUGGAACUUUAAAAAGAUGGCCAAAGCAAAACAAUCUUAUUCAGUUGGUAACUCAUGAUAUUAAUAAAGAAAUUUCAGAAAAUAAAGAAGAGAACUUAACUUCUGAUGAAAAUGGAGUUGUUUUACAAGAGGUCAUAAAAGAAGAGUCUCCAGAAGACCCAUUAGAAGAUCAAGUAAAAGAAGAUGUGAAGCCCAUUGAAUGCACGGUGGCUUUUCCCAAGCUACUGAUGUGCAAGAGCAGUCUGAAAAAUAUUUUGUCACUAGGAAAAUGUUGUCAUCCCAAAUUCAGUGUAACUACAACAAAUACUGAAGAAUCACCAACUCAAUGGACAGCAUGUGAGGAGACACAAAUGAGAAGAAUUAUGCCUAAGGCUAAUGUGAGUACCUCAAAAUCCUUGACUGACACAGACUCUUGCUUUUAGGAGAA